rnacentral:rRNA from 1 species
UACGGGGGGGGCAAGCGUUGUCCGGAAUCACUGGGCGUAAAGGGCGCGUAGGUGGCGCCGCAAGUCCAUGGUGAAAGCUCGAUGCUCAACAUCGAGUCGGCCACGGAGACUGCGGGGCUCGAGCACUGUAGGGGCAGAUGGAAUUCCGGGUGUAGCGGUGGAAUGCGUAGAGAUCCGGAAGAACACCGGUGGCGAAGGCGGUCUGCUGGGCAGUUGCUGACACUGAGGCGCGACAGCGUGGGGAGCAAACAGG